GAUGAACGCUAGCUACAGGCUUAACACAUGCAAGUCGAGGGGUAACGAGAGGAAAGCUUGCUUUCCUUGUCGACGACCGGCGCACGGGUGAGUAACGCGUAUCCAACCUGCCCCCAACUAAGGAAUAACCUUGCGAAAGUAAGACUAAUACCUUAUAAUCUCCUCAGAUGACAUCUGACGAGGAAUAAAGAUUUAUCGGUUGUGGAUGGGGAUGCGUCUGAUUAGCUUGUUGGCGGGGUAACGGCCCACCAAGGCAACGAUCAGUAGGGGGUCUGAGAGGAAGGUCCCCCACAUUGGAACUGAGACACGGUCCAAACUCCUACGGGAGGCAGCAGUGAGGAAUAUUGGUCAAUGGGCGGAAGCCUGAACCAGCCAAGUAGCGUGCAGGAUGACGGCCCUAUGGGUUGUAAACUGCUUUUAUACAGGAAUAAAGUUAGCCACGUGUGGUUAUUUGUAGGUACUGUAUGAAUAAGGACCGGCUAAUUCCGUGCCAGCAGCCGCGGUAA
rnacentral:rRNA from 1 species